GACAGAGGGUGCAAACGUUGUUCGGAUUUACUGGGCGUAAAGCGCGUGUAGGCGGCCUUGCAAGUUGGAUGUGAAAGCCCACGGCUCAACCGUGGAAGCGCAUCCAAAACUGCAUCGCUCGAGUCUCGGAGAGGAAGGUGGAAUGCUUGGUGUAGAGGUGAAAUUCGUAGAUAUCAAGCGGAACACCUGCGGCGAAGGCGGCCUUCUGGACGAUGACUGACGCUGAGACGCGAAAGCGUGGGGAGCAAACAGG
rnacentral:rRNA from 1 species